rnacentral:rRNA from 1 species
UACGAGGGGAGCAAGCGUUGUUCGGAUUUACUGGGCGUAAAGGGCGCGUAGGCGGCGUGACUAGUCACUUGUGAAAUCUCCGGGCUUAACUCGGAACGGUCAAGUGAUACUGUCGUGCUAGAGUACAGAAGGGGCAACUGGAAUUCUCGGUGUAGCGGUGAAAUGCGUAGAUAUUGGGAGGAACACCGGUGGCGAAGGCGGCUAUCUGGACCGGUACUGACGCUGAGGAGCGAAAGCGUGGGGAGCGAACAGG